UAAAGGGGGAACACAGCCCAUCACUAAAUGGUGGAUCAAGGGACAAAUGGCAAUAUUUACUAAUAUAUUUAUUCCAGUUUGGCACAUUGUGGAGAUAAAUAAUGCAUUCGCGGAAAGUCCAACCCCUCUAACCUAAAGGAACGCGUGGAAUGAAAUAGUUUCAUACUGUGUUAAGGAAAAAUUCACAGAAAAUGGAAAACGGAGAAGAACAGCUACAGAGUUAAACUUGACACACUAUCAUCUACUCCUUUUAUACAUACAGUAUAUUGGAAAAUGUGAUUGUUUUUCUUUAAAACAUUAUGUGUUUAAUAUUU